ensembl:lncRNA
GUCACCAUGGCAACAGGGAAGCGGAGAGCUACGUUUUUUACACCACUUGAACUGGACAUCUUAAUUCGUUUAUAUGGCGACUACGAACACGUUUUUAGAAAGAAGUGCAACACCGCUGCGGCUGCAAAAGAGAGGGAGACGGCGUGGGAGAACAUUGCUGCCCGAGUCAAUGCGUGCAAUCCCGCGGGGGUGAAGCGCACGUGGCAGCAGCUGAAGAUGAAAUAUAAAAACAUUGUUCAAACAGCCAACAGAAAGAAAGGAGAUGCCCGUAAAACAGGAGGUGGCCCAGCACCACCACCUCUAACGGAGGCAGAGGAGCUGGUCCUAAGCCAGAAUUUGGGAAGGCCAGUGGCUGAGGGAAUCCCUGGAGGGAGCUCAUCCUCUGAGACCACCCCCCCAAGAUACAAGUGCUUUUAUAAAAUAUUCUGAUGGUACUAUCUGCCUGGUGGAGCCCCUUCACGCCACAACAGACCUUGUAACUGAUGAAGAGGAUGAAACUGUGUCUGCUGCCUUUACAGAGGGGGAUCCAGAAAGGCAUACAGAGAGCAUGGCUGGACAGCAGCAGGAUGGUCCCUCAACUUCCACUGCACAGAUUGACACAGUGAGAUGGAUGUUCAGUAAACACCAGAGGUUCAGUCCAUGGAAUUCAUGUGCAACUGUAUAAUUUAAUGUCCUUUAUGUAUUCCCAGUUACCAGUAAAACAAAUAUACAAAAUCCACUUGCUGAGAAAAAUACAAAAAACAGAUAAAGAAAUGCAGUACUUGGACCGCCAGAUUAAGAAGGCAGAUCUGGAAAUUGAAAUACUGGAGCACAAGUUAGAGGUGGGUGCAGGUCACA